GACGGGGGAUGCAAGUGUUAUCCGGAAUCACUGGGCGUAAAGCGUCUGUAGGUGGUUUAAUAAGUCAACUGUUAAAUCUUGAGGCUCAACCUCAAAAUCGCAGUCGAAACUAUUAGGCUAGAGUAUAGUAGGGGUAAAGGGAAUUUCCAGUGGAGCGGUGAAAUGCGUAGAGAUUGGAAAGAACACCGGUGGCGAAGGCACUUUACUGGGCUAUUACUAACACUCAGAGACGAAAGCUAGGGUAGCAAAUGGG
rnacentral:rRNA from 1 species